UACGUAGGGACCAAGCGUUGUUCGGAUUUACUGGGCGUAAAGGGCGCGUAGGCGGGCUGUCAAGUCUGGGGUGAAAUGCCGCGGCUCAACCGUGGAACUGCCUUAGAUACUGACGGCCUCGAGGAAGGUAGGGGCAUGCGGAACUGUAGGUGGAGCGGUGAAAUGCGUUGAUAUCUACAGGAACUCCGGUGGCGAAAGCGGCGUGCUGGACCUUUUCUGACGCUGAGGCGCGAAAGCUAGGGGAGCAAACGGG
rnacentral:rRNA from 1 species